rnacentral:pre_miRNA from 1 species
CCUUACUAGCAGUUGAAGCUGCCAGCAUGAUCUGAGCUUUCUCUCUCGAUCCUCUUCUUUCUUCUCUUUCUUUCUCCCUUCGCUCGAGAAAGAUUAGAUCAUGUGGUAGCUUCACCUGUUCAUGAG